UGACCUCGGAUCAGGUAGGAAUACCCGCUGAACUUAAGCAUAUCAAUAAGCGGAGGAAAAGAAACCAACAGGGAUUGCCCCAGUAACGGCGAGUGAAGCGGCAACAGCUCAAAUUUGAAAUCUGGCCCCCGGGCCCGAGUUGUAAUUUGCAGAGGAUGCUUUUGGUGACGCGCCUACCGAGUCCCCUGGAACGGGGCGCCACAGAGGGUGAGAGCCCCGUAUGGUUUGACGCCGAGCCUCUGUAAAGCUCCUUCGACGAGUCGAGUAGUUUGGGAAUGCUGCUCUAAAUGGGAGGUAAAUUUCUUCUAAAGCUAAAUACCGGCCAGAGACCGAUAGCGCACAAGUAGAGUGAUCGAAAGAUGAAAAGCACUUUGAAAAGAGGGUUAAAUAGCACGUGAAAUUGUUGAAAGGGAAGCGCUCGUGACCAGACUUGCGCCGGGCGGAUCAUCCAGCGUUCUCGCUGGUGCACUCCGCCCGGCUCAGGCCAGCAUCGGUUUUCGCCGGGGGACAAAAGCACCGGGAAUGUGGCUCCCCUCGGGGAGUGUUAUAGCCCGGCGCGCAAUACCCCGGCGGGGACCGAGGACCGCGCUUCGGCAAGGAUGCUGGCGUAAUGGUCAUCAGCGACCCGUCUUGAAACACGGACCGAGGAGUCAAGCAUUAGUGCGAGUGUUUGGGUGUAAAACCCGCACGCGUAAUGAAAGUGAACGUAGGUGAGAGCUUCGGCGCAUCAUCGACCGAUCCUGAUGUUUUCGGAUGGAUUUGAGUAGGAGCAUUAACGCUUGGACCCGAAAGAUGGUGAACUAUACUUGAAUAGGGUGAAGCCAGAGGAAACUCUGGUGGAGGCUCGCAGCGGUUCUGACGUGCAAAUCGAUCGUCAAAUUUGAGUAUAGGGGCGAAAGACUAAUCGAACCAUCUAGUAGCUGGUUACCGCCGAAGUUUCCCUCAGGAUAGCAGUGUCGUCUUCAGUUUUAUGAGGUAAAGCGAAUGAUUAGGGACUCGGGGGCGAUUUUUAGCCUUCAUCCAUUCUCAAACUUUAAAUAUGUAAGAAGCCCUUGUUACUUUGUUGAACGUGGGCCUUCGAAUGUACCGACACUAGUGGGCCAUUUUUGGUAAGCAGAACUGGCGAUGCGGGAUGAACCGAACGCGGGGUUAAGGUGCCGGAGUGGACGCUCAUCAGACACCACAAAAGGCGUUAGUACAUCUUGACAGCAGGACGGUGGCCAUGGAAGUCGGAAUCCGCUAAGGACUGUGUAACAACUCACCUGCCGAAUGUACUAGCCCUGAAAAUGGAUGGCGCUCAAGCGUCCCACCCAUACCCCGCCCCCAGGGUAGAAACGAGGCCCUGGGGAGUAGGCGGCCGUGGGGGUAGCGACGAAGGCUAGGGCGUGAGCCCGGCUAGAGCUGCCCCUAGUGCAGAUCUCGGUGAGAGUAGCAAAUACUUCAAUGAGAACUUGAAGGACCGAAGUGGGGAAAGGUUCCAUGUGAACAGCAGUUGGACGUGGGUUAGCCGAUCCUAAGCCAUAGGGAAGUUCCGUUUCAAAGGGGCGCUAGCGCCCCGUAUGGCGAAAGGGAAGCAGGUUAAUAUUCCUGCGCCUGGAUGUGGGUUUUUCGCGGCAACGCAACUGAACGCGGAGACGACGGCGGGGGCCCCGGGCAGAGUUAUCUUUUCUUCUUAACGGCCCGUCACCCUGGAAACGGUUUGUCCGGAGAUAGGGNNNNNNNNNNNNNNNNNNNNNNNNNNNNNNNNNNNNNNNNNNNNNNNNNNNNNNNNNNNNNNNNNNNNNNNNNNNNNNNNNNNNNNNNNNNNNNNNNNNNGUAAAUUUGAAGCUUUUAGUACAGAGAAGGAACCGCUCCAUAUCAAGAUUAAAUGGGUUUUUUGCGGUAGUCCGACAAGGGGACAGUGCACGAAGCUACCAUCUGCAGGGAUAACGGCUGAACGCCUUCAAAGUCGAAAUCCCUUACCAGAACGGCGGUGACGCUCCCCGAAGGUUAAGACGGAUAAAGAAUAGGGUUCCGGCCUUCGUAUCUAAGCAGGCGGGACAUUCCGCCGGCCUUGAAAGCGGGCCGGCGGUGAUUCGCGGAUUGUAAUUUCGCCACGCGCGGGGGUUGAAUCCUUUGCAGACGACUUAGAUGUGCGAAAGGGUCCUGUAAGCAGUAGAGUAGCCUUGUUGUUACGAUCUGCUGAGGGUAAGCCCUACUUCGCCUAGAUUUCC
rnacentral:rRNA from 1 species